AUGAACGCUAGCGACAGGCCUAACACAUGCAAGUCGAGGGGCAGCACAAGGAGCAAUCUGAGGUGGCGACCGGCGCACGGGUGAGUAACACGUAUGCAACCUGCCUGUAAGCGGGGAAUAACCCGUUGAAAGACGGACUAAUACCGCAUAAUACUAAAUUACUGCAUGGUAAUUUAUUUAAACAUUUAUGGCUUACAGAUGGGCAUGCGCAUGAUUAGCUAGUUGGAGAGGUAACGGCUCCCCAAGGCAACGAUCAUUAGGGGUUCUGAGAGGAAGGUCCCCCACACUGGUACUGAGACACGGACCAGACUCCUACGGGAGGCAGCAGUGAGGAAUAUUGGUCAAUGGACGAGAGUCUGAACCAGCCAAGUCGCGUGCAGGAAGAAUGUCCCUAUGGAUUGUAAACUGCUUUUGCGGGGGAAUAAAGUGCAUCACGUGUGAUGUUUAGUAUGUACUCUGCGAAUAAGGAUCGGCUAACUCCGUGCCAGCCGCUGC
rnacentral:rRNA from 1 species